GAAGGGGAGGGGCGGGAGCAGCCGCUUAACGCGCGCAGGGCCGGCCGCCGUGAGCGUGGGGCGAGCGUGGGCCGCGGCGCCGCGGUGUGACUCCUUCCCGCGACCCUCCUUCGGGCCCCCGGCGAGGGAACUGUGCGGCGGCCGGAGCGGCGCCGGAGCCCGCGAGGCUGAGCAGGCGGCUUUGCCCGGGCAUGGUGGUCCGGGGCAACGCGGAAGAAGCUCCACCAUGAGACGAGGUGGAUGGAAAAAGCGAACUGAAAAUGAUGGCUGGGAAAAAUGGGUGUGUUUUAAAAGAAUAAAAAUACUAUAUUUAAUUGUUCAGGGUGGGUAUAUGGCUGCCAAGGUCCAGAAAUUGGAGGAACAAUUUCGAUCAGAUGCUACUUUACAGAAGGAUGGAACUUCAUCUACAAUUUUUAGUGGAGUUGCCAUUUACGUUAAUGGAUAUACAGAUCCUUCUGCUGAGGAAUUGAGAAAGCUAAUGAUGUUGCAUGGAGGGCAAUACCAUGUGUAUUAUUCCAGAUCCAAAACAACACACAUUAUUGCCACAAAUCUUCCAAAUGCCAAAAUUAAAGAAUUAAAGGGGGAAAAAGUAAUUCGGCCAGAAUGGAUUAUGGAAAGUAUCAAAGCUGGAAGACUGCUCUCCUGCAUUCCCUAUCAGCUGUACAGCAAGCAGUCCAACAUGCAGAAAGGUCUCAACUUUACUCCUGCGUGCAAAGCUGAGGAACCUGGGCCAGGUCCAAGCAGUGUAGUCAAACAGCUCAACAACAGGGUAAAUCACAUAAUUAAGAAGAUUGAGACAGAAAAUGAAGUCAAAGUCAAUGGAAUGAACAGUUGGAAUGAAGAAGAUGCAAAUAAUGAUUUUAAUUUUAUGGAGCUGGAGCAGAUCUUUCCAGGAAGGAAACAAAAUGGAAUUCCGCAUCACAGAGACAACGCUGCCAUUUUUAAUGGACACACUCCUAGCUCUAAUGGUGCCUUAAAGACGCAGGAUUGCUUGGUGCCCAUGGGCCACAGUAUUGCCAGCAGGCUUUCCCCAGACUUCGCCCAGGGGGAGGAGCAGGCUGAGAAGAGCAGCACUGACUUCAGAGACUGCGUUGUGCACCUGUCGCAACAAAGCACUAGAAACACAGAUGCUGUGCGGAAUCCACACAGAACUAAUUCCUUCUCCUUAUCAUCUUUGCACAGUAACACUAAAGUAAAUGGUGCUCACCACUCCGCUGUUCAGGGGCCUUCAAGCACAAAAAGCACUUCUUCAAUACCUACUCUUAGCAAGGCAGCACCUUCAGUGCCAUCCAAAUCCUCAGAUUGCAGUUUUAUUUCAGACUUCUAUUCCCGCUCAAGACUGCAUCACAUAUCAAUGUGGAAGUGUGAAUUGACUGAGUUUGUCAGUGCCCUACAAAGACAAAGUAGUGGUGUCUUUCCAGGAAGGGAAAAGUUAAAAAAAAUGAAAACAGGCAGGUCUGCACUUGUUGUAACUGACACAGGAAAUAUGUCAGUAUUGAGUUCACCCAAGCAUCAGAGCUGUAUAAUGCAUGUUGAUAUGGAUUGCUUCUUUGUAUCAGUGGGUAUACGAAAUAGACCAGAUCUCAAAGGAAAACCAGUGGCUGUUACAAGUAACAGAGGCACAGGAAGGGCACCUUUACGUCCUGGUGCUAACCCCCAGUUGGAGUGGCAGUAUUACCAGAAUAAAAUCCUUAAAGGCAAAGCAGCAGAGAUACCAGAUUCAUCGUUGUGGGAGAACCAAGAUUCUGCACAAGCAAAUGGGAUUGAUUCUGUUUUAUCAAAGGCUGAAAUUGCCUCUUGUAGUUAUGAAGCCAGACAAGUUGGCAUCAGGAAUGGAAUGUUUUUUGGGCAAGCUAAACAACUUUGUCCCAGUCUUCAAGCUGUUCCAUAUGAUUUUCAUGCCUAUAAGGAAGUUGCACGAACAAUGUAUGAAACACUGGCAAGCUACACUCAUAACAUUGAAGCUGUCAGUUGUGAUGAAGCACUGGUAGACAUCACGGAGAUCCUUGCAGAGACCAGACUUACUCCUGAUGAAUUUGCAAAUGCUGUCCGCAUGGAAAUCAAAGACCAGACGAAAUGUGCGGCCUCCGUUGGAAUUGGUUCUAAUAUUCUCCUUGCUAGAAUGGCAACUCGAAAAGCAAAACCAGAUGGCCAAUACCACUUAAAACCAGAAGAAGUAGAUGAUUUUAUCAGAGGUCAGCUAGUUAGUAAUCUACCAGGAGUUGGACGUUCAAUGGAAUCCAAGUUGACCUCUUUGGGAAUUAAAACUUGUGGAGACUUGCAAUAUAUGACAAUGGCAAAGCUCCAGAAAGAAUUUGGUCCCAAAACAGGUCAGAUGCUUUAUAGGUUCUGCCGUGGUUUGGAUGAUAGACCAGUUCGAACUGAAAAGGAAAGAAAAUCUAUUUCAGCUGAGAUCAACUAUGGAAUAAGGUUUACCCAGCCAAAAGAAGCGGAAGCUUUUCUUCUGAAUCUUUCAGAAGAAAUUCAGCGACGACUUGAGGCUGCCGGCAUGAAGGGUAAACGCCUGACGCUCAAAGUCAUGGUGCGAAAGCCUGGGGCCCCAGUUGAAACUGCGAAAUUUGGAGGCCAUGGGAUUUGUGAUCACAUCGCCAGGACUGUAACUCUUGACCAGGCAACAGAUAGCGCAAAGAUAAUUGGAAAAGCUACACUAAACAUGUUUCAUACAAUGAAACUAAAUAUAUCAGAUAUGAGAGGGGUUGGGAUUCAAGUCAAUCAGUUGGUCCCGACCAAUCCAAACCCUUCCGCAUGCCCCAGUCGCCCGUCAGUUCAGUCAAGCCACUUUCCUGGUGGGUCACACUCUGUCCUGGAUCUCUUCCAAGUUCAGAAAGCUAAGAAAUCCACAGAAGAGGAGCAUAAGGAAGUAUUUGUGGCUGCUAUGGAUCUGGAAAUAUCCUCUGCCUCUAGAAAUUGCACUUUCAUGCCAUCUUUUUCUACACACCUGACAUCAAGUGUCAAUCCUGUUACUAGCAAAGCUGAGUCUUCAGGGAAAUGGAAUGGUCUACAUUCUCCCAUCAGUUUAAAAUCAAGACUUAACUUGAGUAUAGAAGUUCCAUCACCUUCCCAGCUCGAUCAGUCUGUUUUAGAAGCACUUCCAUCCGAUCUCCGGGAACAAAUAGAGCAGGCUUGUGCUGGUCAGCAAGGAGAGCUGCAUGGCGACAAAAGGAAAGAGCCAGUAAAUGGCUGUAAUACAGGAAUUUUGCCACAACCAGUUGGGACGGUUUUGCUACAAAUACCAGAACCUCAAGAAUCUAACAGUGACGCGGGAAUUAAUGUCAUAGCCCUUCCAGCAUUUUCACAGGUGGACCCUGAGGUGUUUGCUGCCCUUCCUGCCGAGCUUCAGAAGGAGCUGAAGGCAGCGUAUGAUCAAAGACAAAGGCAGGGAGAGAACGCCGCUCACCAGCAGCUGGCCGCUGCGUCAGUGCCAAAGAAUCUGUUACGUCAGCUCAAACCAGCAACGGUGAAAGAAAAGAAACGAAACAAAAAAAAUCCCAUCAGUUCCCCCAAAAAGAUUCAGAGUCCUUUGAAAAACAAGUUGCUUACCAGUCCUGUGAAAACUCUGCCGGGGGCCUGUGGGAGUCCCCAGAAGUUAAUCGAUGGGUUUCUAAAACAUGAAGGUCCUGCUUCUGAGAAACCUCUGGGAGAACUCUCUGCUUCCACUUCAGGUGUGCCAGGCCUUUCCACCUCGCAGCCUGAGCCUGCUGGCUGCGGAAGACCCCCGGCACCUAACCUAGCGGGAGCUGUUGAAUUCAGUGAUGUGAAGACUUUGCUCAAAGAAUGGAUAACUACCAUUUCAGAUCCAAUGGAAGAAGACAUUCUACAAGUUGUGAAAUACUGUACUGACCUAAUAGAGGAAAAAGAUUUGGAAAAACUGGACCUAGUUAUCAAAUACAUGAAAAGGUUGAUGCAGCAGUCGGUGGAAUCGGUUUGGAACAUGGCAUUUGACUUUAUUCUUGACAAUGUUCAGGUGGUUUUACAACAAACUUAUGGAAGCACAUUAAAAGUUACAUAAGUCUCACCAGGGAGCCUGAUGCUCUCGGCUAGCUGUGCCAUAAGUGCUUGUGAGGCUCCUUUUUGUGACUCCUUUAGGAAGCAAAUCCUGCACUGUUUAUUAUAUUUAAAGGCUGAGGAAACCUACAAGCCAGACUGUCACAGGCUCCAUGCUAAGCUUUGAGAUUCCUGAGAGGUCCCAGACUGGGAUUCUGCUUGUUCCGGGUAAAGCUUCUAAAUAAUCUUAAUCAGUCAUUCUUCUCCCCAAGCAUGAACACAGGAGCAUGUUAAGUCUUCUUUACUUAUUUUAAAUUAAAACACACACAUAAUUGAAUAUUAAGUUUUUUUCCUGGGAAAAUUGUCUCUGCUUCUACCAUCCUUGAGAAACUUCAGUAGUAUUGAAGAAUGGUACAGAUUUUCAGAUGUAUAUAGUGUUUUUCUAGGCUAGGUUAUACCAUAAUCCUUGGAAAAUAGAAUUUAUAAUCCUAUGCCAGUGAAUACUUGGGGACAAACACCUCCCAUUGCCUUCAAUGCUGUGCUAUCAACAUAAAUAGGUAGUCUGAUACUAGAGAUCUUAUUUUUCGUGUGGACUUCCCACAUUCUUUGGAAAACUAGCUAAAACCCAAUUACUGCCAACAACAAAUCAUGAUGUCUCUGCCACAACUUCGGAGCAAUAAGCCCAAAUAGUCCAUCAGCUCCCUACUUACUGCCCCAUCAGGAAACUUAUGCAUGAUGGAUGUACAAAAAUUCUAACGCUCAUGUGCUGGCACACGAGGUAUUACACUGAAGCUGAUGACUCAUGGAGAGAAGCUACGCUAGCAUGAAGGCCUAACAGCUCACUGGUGGAUGUCUGUUUGUUUUCUUUAUUGGUAGUUCAGAAUUGUGCUGAUUACAGUGGACUCUCCGGACUACACAAGCAGUAAAUAGCAGCCAGCUAUGCUUUAUACCAUGGUUUCACACAAAGCAGAUAUCAGAGUGCCUAAUUUUCUAUUUUAAAAAAUUCCUAAGGGUAUACGGCAGAAGAAUGCUGGAAAAAAAUCACUGUGGGAAGGGAUAUGCGUAAAUAAAGAAGUAUUUCUUACAUCAAAAAAGUCCCAAGAAUCACAAAAUCUGCAGAAGCUUGGUUAAUCAAAUACUGCAUUACUGAUUUAAUCAGUAUAAAAUUGAAAGAGCUUUAGAUCUGUAAUAAAAAUCCAAAUUUGGGUUAGGGCAAACUUUAAAACAGCAGCCGGUAGAGAAGGGUUGGGAAAGGAAGGGGCAGGUGAACAGGCA